rnacentral:rRNA from 1 species
AGAGUUUGAUCAUGGCUCAGGACGAACGCUGGCGGUGUGCUUAAGACAUGCAAGUCGAGCGGUCCCGCAAGGGACAGCGGCGGACGGGUGAGUAACACGUGGAUAACCUGCCCGACUCCCCGGGAUAACAGGCCGAAAGGCCUGCUAAUACCGGGUAAGCUCACAUCACCGCAUGGUGGUGGGAGAAAAGGUCCCGCAAGGGGCUGGGGUUGGAGGGGUCCGCGGUCCAUUAGCUAGUUGGGGGGGUAACGGCCCACCAAGGCGACGAUGGAUAGCCGGCCUGAGAGGGCGACCGGCCACACUGGGACUGAGACACGGCCCAGACUCCUACGGGAGGCAGCAGUCGGGAAUUUUGGGCAAUGGCCGAAAGGGCUGACCCAGCAACACCGCGUGAGUGAAGAAGGCCUUCGGGUUGUAAAGCUCUGUUGCCCGUGAAGAACGGUGCUUUCAGGAAAUGGGAAGCACUUGACGGUAGCGGGAGAGGAAGCUCCGGCUAACUACGUGCCAGCAGCCGCGGUAAUACGUAGGGAGCGAGCGUUGUCCGGAUUUAUUGGGCGUAAAGGGCGUGUAGGCGGCCUGUUAAGUCCGAAGUGAAAACUCGGGGCUCAACCCCGAGCCGGCUUCGGAUACUGGUGGGCUUGAGUGCUCUAGAGGGCAGUGGAAUUCCCGGUGUAGCAGUGAAAUGCGUAGAGAUCGGGAGGAACACCAGUGGCGAAGGCGACUGCCUGGGGAGUAACUGACGCUGAGGCGCGAAAGCUGGGGGAGCAAACGGGAUUAGAUACCCCGGUAGUCCCAGCCGUAAACGAUGAGUGCUAGGUGUAGCGGGUAUCGACCCCCGCUGUGCCGGAGUUAACGCAAUAAGCACUCCGCCUGGGGAGUACGGCCGCAAGGUUGAAACUCAAAGGAAUUGACGG